rnacentral:rRNA from 1 species
ACUGGAACUGAGACACGGUCCAGACUCCUACGGGAGGCAGCAGUGGGGAAUAUUGCACAAUGGGGGAAACCCUGAUGCAGCCAUGCCGCGUGUGUGAAGAAGGCCUUCGGGUUGUAAAGCACUUUCAGCGACGAGGAAGGAGUGUGUGUUAAUAGCGCACAUUAUUGACGUUAGUCGCAGAAGAAGCACCGGCUAACUCCGUGCCAGCAGCCGCGGUAAUACGGAGGGUGCGAGCGUUAAUCGGAAUUACUGGGCGUAAAGCGUACGCAGGCGGUUUGUUAAGCGAGAUGUGAAAGCCCCGGGCUCAACCUGGGAACUACAUUUCGAACUGGCAAACUAGAGUAUGAUAGAGGGUGGUAGAAUUUCAGGUGUAGCGGUGAAAUGCGUAGAGAUCUGAAGGAAUACCGAUGGCGAAGGCAGCCACCUGGGUCAAUACUGACGCUCAUGUACGAAAGCGUGGGGAGCAAACGGGAUUAGAUACCCCGGUAGUCCACGCCGUAAACGAUGUCUACUAGCUGUAGGGGUACUUGAGACCUUUGUAGCGCAGCUAACGCAAUAAGUAGACCGCCUGGGGAGUACGGCCGCAAGGUUAAAACUCAAAUGAAUUGACGGGGGCCCGCACAAGCGGUGGAGCAUGUGGUUUAAUUCGACGCAACGCGAAGAACCUUACCUACACUUGACAUCCUCGGAACUUUCUAGAGAUAGAUUGGUGCCUUCGGGAACCGGGUGACAGGUGCUGCAUGGCUGUCGUCAGCUCGUGUCGUGAGAUGUUGGGUUAAGUCCCGUAACGAGCGCAACCCUUGUCCUUAGUUGCCAGCACAUAAUGGUGGGAACUCUAAGGAGACUGCCGGUGACAAACCGGAGGAAGGUGGGGACGACGUCAAGUCAUCAUGGCCCUUACGACCUGGGCUACACACGUGCUACAAUGG